rnacentral:rRNA from 1 species
AGUGAACGCUGGCGGUAGGCCUAACACAUGCAAGUCGAACGGCAGCACAGUAAGAGCUUGCUCUUACGGGUGGCGAGUGGCGGACGAGUGAGGAAUACAUCGGAAUCUACUUUUUCGUGGGGGAUAACGUAGGGAAACUUACGCUAAUACCGCAUACGACCUACGGGUGAAAGCAGGGGAUCUUCGGACCUUGCGCGAUUGAAUGAGCCGAUGUCGGAUUAGCUAGUUGGCGGGGUAAAGGCCCACCGAGGCGACGAUCCGUAGCUGGUCUGAGAGGAUGAUCAGCCACACUGGAACUGAGACACGGUCCAGACUCCUACGGGAGGCAGCAGUGGGGAAUAUUGGACAAUGGGCGCAAGCCUGAUCCAGCCAUACCGCGUGGGUGAAGAAGGCCUUCGGGUUGUAAAGCCCUUUUGUUGGGAAAGAAAAGCAGCAGGUUAAUACCCCGCUGUUCUGACGGUACCCAAAGAAUAAGCACCGGCUAACUUCGUG